rnacentral:rRNA from 1 species
AUACAGAGGGUGCGAGCGUUAAUCGGAAUUACUGGGCGUAAAGCGCGCGUAGGCGGUCUAUUAAGUCAGAUGUGAAAUCCCAGGGCUCAACCUUGGAACUGCAUCUGAUACUGAUAGACUAGAGUUUUGGAGAGGGAAGUAGAAUUUCAGGUGUAGCGGUGAAAUGCAUAGAGAUCUGAAGGAAUACCAGUGGCGAAGGCGACUUCCUGGCCAAAAACUGACGCUGAGGUGCGAAAGCGUGGGUAGCAAACGGGAUUAGAAACCCUAGUAGUCC